rnacentral:snoRNA from 1 species
UCAAAGUUCAAUUAUAAUGAUGACAAGAGUGCAUUUGGCUCGAGAUAUUUUGUCGAUGUGGAAAAACCCAAGCUACCUUAUUUUUUUUGUCUGAUA